rnacentral:rRNA from 1 species
GUGGGGAAUCUUGCACAAUGGGGGCAACCCUGAUGCAGCGACGCCGCGUGAGCGAAGAAGCCCUUCGGGGUGUAAAGCUCUUUCGGCGGGGACGAAUCUGACGGUACCCGCAAAAGAAGCCCCGGCUAACUACGUGCCAGCAGCCGCGGUAAUACGUAGGGGGCCAGCGUUGUUCGGAAUUACUGGGCGUAAAGAGCGCGUAGGCGGUGCGGCAGGUUCGGUGUGAAAUCUCCCGGCUUAACCGGGAGGGGUCGCCGAAAACGGUCGUGCUGGAGUACGGGAGAGGGGAGUGGAAUUCCCGGUGUAGCGGUGAAAUGCGUAGAUAUCAGGAGGAACACCGGCGGCGAAGGCGGCUCCCUGGACCGUGACUGACGCUGAGGCGCGAAAGCUAGGGUAGCAAACAGG